rnacentral:rRNA from 1 species
GACGAACCGUGCGACCGUUAUUCGGAAUCACUGGGCGUAAAGGGUGCGUAGGCGGCGCGGUAAGUCGGGUGUGAAAUCUUGGAGCUUAACUCCGAAACUGCAUUCGAUACUGCCGUGCUUGAGGACUGGAGAGGAGACUGGAAUUUACGGUGUAGCGGUGAAAUGCGUAGAUAUCGUAAGGAAGACCAGUGGCGAAGGCGGGUCUCUGGACAGUUCCUGACGCUGAAGCACGAAGGCCAGGGGAGCAAACGGG